CUCCCUGCAUUCGUAAAGAGUGCAGAGUGGUAGAUGUUGUCUACCCAAAACUCCUUUAAUUGCUGGAAGUCCCUAAAGCCAGUUGAACUACAACGUAGAGAUGAAAAAAGCUCAAGCGUGAAAGUGCCGAAAGCAGAAAAAAUCAACUGGAUGGUGCAGGGUUAAAUCCUAAACACUGAGACAAUGGGUAAUCAGCAGCGAAGCCCCGAAGAGGGGAACGUUCAACGACUAGAGAGGAAUCUCGUACCCUGUAAGCUAUUGACAGGGGAAAUGGGGAGCACCCUUAUGGGUGGUGAUAUAGUCUGUGCUUAUGUGAAAGCAUAAG
rnacentral:ncRNA from 1 species